UUGAGUUGGUCCACCCAUCUAGCUGGCGC
rnacentral:sRNA from 1 species